rnacentral:rRNA from 1 species
AGAGUUUGAUCCUGGCUCAGGACGAACGCUGGCGGCGUGCUUAACACAUGCAAGUCGAGCGGAAAGGCCCUUCGGGGUACUCGAGCGGCGAACGGGUGAGUAACACGUGAGCAACCUGCCCCAAGCUUUGGGAUAACCCUCGGAAACGGGGGCUAAUACCGAAUAUUACUGCUGGCCGCAUGGCUGGUGGUGGAAAGUUUUUCGGCUUGGGAUGGGCUCGCGGCCUAUCAGCUUGUUGGUGGGGUGAUGGCCUACCAAGGCGACGACGGGUAGCCGGCCUGAGAGGGCGACCGGCCACACUGGGACUGAGACACGGCCCAGACUCCUACGGGAGGCAGCAGUGGGGAAUAUUGCACAAUGGGCGGAAGCCUGAUGCAGCGACGCCGCGUGAGGGAUGACGGCCUUCGGGUUGUAAACCUCUUUCAGCAGGGACGAAGCGAGAGUGACGGUACCUGCAGAAGAAGCACCGGCCAACUACGUGCCAGCAGCCGCGGUA